rnacentral:rRNA from 1 species
GAUGAACGCUAGCGGCAGGCCUAAUACAUGCAAGUCGAACGGUGUCAUCGGACAUAGUGGCGCACGGGUGCGUAACACGUAUGCAACCUACCUUACAUUGGGGGAUAGCCUUUCGAACGGGAGAUUAAUACCGCAUAAGACAGUAGCUGGGCAUCCAGCAGCUGUUAAAGAUUUAUCGAUGUAAGCUGGGCAUGCGUCCAAUUAGCUAGUUGGUGAGGUAACGGCUCACCAAGGCAAUGAUUGGUAGGGGAACUGAGAGGUCAAUCCCCCACACUGGCACCGAGAUACGGGCCAGACUCCUACGGGAGGCAGCAGUAGGGAAUAUUGGGCAAUGGACGCAAGUCUGACCCAGCCAUGCCGCGUGCAGGAUGAAGGCGUUAUGCGUUGUAAACUGCUUUUAUACAGGAAGAAACGACUCUUGCGAGAGGCAUUGACGGUACUGUAUGAAUAAGCACCGGCUAACUCCGUGCCAGCAGCCGCCGUAAGAC